GCAGUGGAAAUGUCUCCACUAAUGGAAAUAUGAUAAUUAGCGGCCAUCAUUGGGAGAUAGUAACCAAGACAUCCAAUUGGGAAUUCUAUUUGUGUAAAAGUGAAAACAUUUUUUCUAAAUAGUAGAGACAAUGUGCAGCUAGCCAGAGUAGAUGAAGAGAGGAUAUUUCUAGUAGAGGGAGAGUAUAGGACUAGAGGGCACAACUUCAGAAUGAAAAGACGCACCUUUAGAAUGGAGAU